AGGCCUUGCGCUCAUUGAGCGGCCGAUAUCAGAUUAGCUAGUUGGUGGGGUAAAAGCUCACCAAGGCGACGAUCUGUAGCGGGUCUGAGAGGAUGAUCCGCCACACUGGAACUGAGACACGGUCCAGACUCCUACGGGAGGCAGCAGUGGGGAAUUUUGGACAAUGGGGGCAACCCUGAUCCAGCCAUGCCGCGUGAGUGAAGAAGGCCUUCGGGUUGUAAAGCUCUUUCAGCCGGGAAGAAAACGCAUGGGUCAAUACCCUGUGUGGAUGACGGUACCGGAAUAAGAAGCACCGGCUAACUACGUGCCAGCAGCCGCGGUAAUACGUAGGGUGCGAGCGUUAAUCGGAAUUACUGGGCGUAAAGCGUGCGCAGGCGGUUUUGUAAGACAGGCGUGAAAUCCCCGGGCUUAACCUGGGAACUGCGUUUGUGACUGCAAGGCUAGAGUACGGCAGAGGGGGGUGGAAUUCCACGUGUAGCAGUGAAAUGCGUAGAGAUGUGGAGGAACACCAAUGGCGAAGGCAGCCCCCUGGGUCGAUACUGACGCUCAUGCACGAAAGCGUGGGUAGCAAACAGGAUUAGAUACCCUGGUAGUCCACGCCCUAAACGAUGUCAACUAGGUGUUGGGUGGGUAAAACCAUUUAGUACCGGAGCUAACGCGUGAAGUUGACCGCCUGGGGAGUACGGCCGCAAGGUUAAAACUCAAAGGAAUUGACGGGGACCCGCACAAGCGGUGGAUGAUGUGGAUUAAUUCGAUGCAACGCGAAAAACCUUACCUACCCUUGACAUGUCAGGAACUUGCCAGAGAUGGCUUGGUGCUCGAAAGAGAACCUGAACACAGGUGCUGCAUGGCUGUCGUCAGCUCGUGUCGUGAGAUGUUGGGUUAAGUCCCGCAACGAGCGCAACCCUUGUCGUUAAUUGCCAUCAUUUAGUUGGGCACUUUAACGAGACUGCCGGUGACAAACCGGAGGAAGGUGGGGAUGACGUCAAGUCCUCAUGGCCCUUAUGGGUAGGGCUUCACACGUCAUACAAUGGUCGGUACAAAGGGUCGCCAACCCGCGAGGGGGAGCCAAUCCCAUAAAGCCGAUCGUAGUCCGGAUUGCAGGCUGCAACUCGCCUGCAUGAAGUCGGAAUCGCUAGUAAUCGUGGAUCAGCAUGUCACGGUGAAUACGUUCCCGGGUCUUGUACACACCGCCCGUCACACCAUGGGAGCGGGUUCCGCCAGAAGUAGGUAGCCUAACCGCAAGGGGGGCGCUUACCACGGCGGGGUUCGUGACUGGGGUGAAGUCGUAACAAGGUA
rnacentral:rRNA from 1 species